rnacentral:rRNA from 1 species
UAAUACGGAGGGGGCUAGCGUUGUUCGGAAUUACUGGGCGUAAAGAGCGCGUAGGCGGUUUACCAAGUUGGGGGUGAAAUCCCGGGGCUUAACCCCGGAACUGCCCUCAAAACUGGUAGGCUAGAGUGUGGGAGAGGAGAGUGGAAUUCCCAGUGUAGAGGUGAAAUUCGUAGAUAUUGGGAAGAACACCAGUGGCGAAGGCGGCUCUCUGGACCACAACUGACGCUGAGGCGCGAAAGCGUGGGGAGCAAACAGGAUUAGAUACCCUGGUAGUCCACGCCGUAAACGAUGAGUGCUAGACGUUGGGGGGCUUGCCCUUCAGUGUCGCAGCUAACGCAUUAAGCACUCCGCCUGGGGAGUACGGUCGCAAGAUUA